rnacentral:lncRNA from 1 species
GCACCCAAACUAUGCUGCAUAAAUAAAUUUGCAAAAUCAAUAUCAUCUAAGUUUAACAACUUUUCUUUAACUCUUGUUCCUCGAUUGUAUAAGAGUCCCACCUUAAAUUUGUAAAGUGCGCUGGAAAUACCCAUCAAGUAACUUUGAUAUCCCAAGAAGUGUAACAGUGAGUCAGAGUGGUAAUUUCUUCCACAUUCAACAUUUCAGCCUUAAUAUAUACACAGUGUAGAUACUAUUCUGUACGCUAUCCGGAAGUCGCGAUUUUCAAAGCGAUGAUUUCCAACUGGCUAACAGGACGGUUUUGCCUACGGUGAUUUUUCUAAUCAUUUGUUUACUCAUAUCCAUAAAGUGCUUUGAACAUCUUCAAGGUAUGUAUAGCAUCUUAAAUAUGAAUAACUG